UUGAACGCUGGCGGCAUGCUUUGCACAUGCAAGUCGAACGGUAACAGGGAGCUUGCCCCGCUGACGAGUGGCGAACGGGUGAGUAAUGCAUCGGAACGUACCCAGUCGUGGGGGAUAACGUAGCGAAAGUUACGCUAAUACCGCAUACGUCCUGAGGGAGAAAGCGGGGGACCGUAAGGCCUCGCGCGAUUGGAGCGGUCGAUGUCGGAUUAGCUAGUUGGUAGGGUAAAGGCCUACCAAGGCGACGAUCCGUAGCUGGUCUGAGAGGACGACCAGCCACACUGGGACUGAGACACGGCCCAGACUCCUACGGGAGGCAGCAGUGGGGAAUUUUGGACAAUGGGGGCAACCCUGAUCCAGCCAUGCCGCGUGAGUGAAGAAGGCCUUCGGGUUGUAAAGCUCUUUCGGCCGGGACGAAAUCGCACCAUCUAAUAAGUGGUGUGGAUGACGGUACCGGAAUAAGAAGCACCGGCUAACUACGU
rnacentral:rRNA from 1 species